UACGUAGGGGGCUAGCGUUGUCCGGAUUUAUUGGGCGUAAAGAGCGUGUAGGCGGCCAGGUAGGUCCGUUGUGAAAACUCGAGGCUCAACCUCGAGACGUCGGCGGAAACCCUCUGGCUAGAGUCCGGAAGAGGAGAGUGGAAUUCCUGGUGUAGCGGUGAAAUGCGCAGAUAUCAGGAGGAACACCAGUGGCGAAGGCGGCUCACUGGCCCGAUACUGACGCUGAGGCACGAAAGCGUGGGGAGCAAACAGG
rnacentral:rRNA from 1 species